rnacentral:misc_RNA from 1 species
AGUGGCCAUGUCAUCUUCAUG